UGCCAGCCGCCGCGGUAAGACGGAGGGGGCUAGCGUCGUUCGGAAUUACUGGGCGUAAAGCGCACGUAGGCGGAUCAGAAAGUAUGGGGUGAAAUCCCAGGGCUCAACCCUGGAACUGCCUCAUAAACUCCUGGUCUAGAGUUCGAGAGAGGUGAGUGGAAUUCCGGGUGUAGAGGUGAAAUUCGUAGAUAUUCGGAGGAACACCAGUGGCGAAGGCGGCUCACUGGCUCGAUACUGACGCUGAGGUGCGAAGGCGUGGGUAGCGAACGGGAUUAGAUA
rnacentral:rRNA from 1 species